GCAGACACCUGGCGGACAACAACUAUCAACCAUGAUGAACUUGUCAGCUUGUGUAAACGGUAUAUAUAUAAAGGACAGACACAACCAGAAAACCAGACAGUUACAAACAUAUUAUCAAUGAAAAAAGAAGGAAAACAGUUUGCAUUGAUUUUGUAUUGUAAAAAUAAACAAUAAAAGUUUUAUUUCA